AAGAAUAGAAGUAAUGAAGAUUU
rnacentral:snRNA from 1 species